UGGUUGAAUCCGAGGUGCAUGCUUGC
rnacentral:piRNA from 1 species